UAUGAAAGCUUUAGCUCUUCCUUUAUCAAAGACAUUGCAAUCAUUUUUUGGUUUUUUUAAAUCAUACUUUUAGCUAUGAGCUAAAGUGGGAGUAACUACUGGGCUGCUGUGGUAAAGUCUAUUAGAUUACUUAAGGUUCACAUCUUUUAACACUCAUAAAAGUUACACUUUGUUUUCCUUUUUAGCAGUGAAUGUUCAUAGAAAGUUUUUUCACUAAUUCUAAUAUUUGUACCAAAAUAUUUUCUCGUUGUUUAUCUCAAUGUACUUAAAUACUAAUUUGUUAUGUAUGAAAUGUAUAUAUUUUAUUACCAAACGUAAGUUUCUGUGUAAAGGCUUCUUUUCUUUGAUGACAUGGAAAGGUGUAAUUUGUUCUUCUGUAACUGUCUUUUUGGUACAUGGAGCACUGUGAAUGUUUUUUUUUUUUUUAAUACUUGUUUUUUUUUUUCACUUUUAUAAACAAGUAGGUUUAGGGUAAUGUGUAUAAUGUAUAGUUAAUAGAAAAAAACCCAUUCAGGUGCCAUGCAAGAAAUUUGUAAAUGAUGUUGCUUAACUCAACUGUGAAACAUCACUGUACUAAGUCGCCGUGCAGCUCUGGCUUUUUGGGAAUUAGUUCAUCAGCCUUGAAACUGUGACCGCAGUCAGGACAGUACGCCAAAAUCUGAAGAAUGGAGUGUAAUGAAAUGUGAAUGUGUGGCCUUUUUCAGCACCAAAAAGAAAAGUGUAUAAACAAGAGUAAAAUAAACAUUUUUGUCUUGUUUUUUACAAAGUUGCUGAUAAUGUUUGUUUUUGUUUAACACCCUGUAUAGUUUUGUAUCCUGAUAUAUUGACGUAUGAUUUUUAAUGUCAAUUCUAACAUGUUUAAUAACCACAUACAAUAAGGUUGAAGUGUUGUUCACACAAUACUGACAAUAGAAACUGAGUGUGAUUUACAUCCACACAAUCUACCUGAGAUCUGGUCAGAUAUUUUGCAACACCUUUCUAUAUUUUUUCAAGAUUGAUUUGUAAAAUUAAAUUCAGCAAUAAAGUUUUUUAAAGUUGUUUUUUUUAAACUGCAUGAUGGGUAAUUUUUGUCUAUUUAAGAGCUUUCAUUUCUCCUUUUUCUCUUUAAUGAACACAUGCACACCACAUGCUUCAAGAAGAACACAGAUCCUGUUUUUUUUUUUUGUCCGGUGUAGCACACUUUCAGAGUACUCCAUCACAUGAAAGUCCUGCAUGGAAAACUGCAGGAUCCACU
ensembl:lncRNA